ACGGUUGAUAAAGAAGCUGAGCAAAGCACAAGCAACACAACACAACCAGACACGACGAGCUGAAAAGAGUAAGUCUGUACUAAGCGUAUACCACUAGUGAAUUUAAAACAGAACCACAGAGAGAAAGAACAAAUACAAAAUUAACUGAAACAGGAAAUCUUUGAACAUCUCAUCAGUGUCUCCUAAGAUGUCUUUAACACAAGAAUUUUUAAAAAUAUUUGGAAAUGGGAUCAGCAGAACUGCUGUUUUCACUUCUUUUCCUCUGAGCCUUUUGUCAGUACUAUUGGAAGGGCUGGUCGAUGCCCAUUUUUCAUGCCCAUGUGAGGCUGAUAAGAAUGCAGAAGUCUCAAAUUUCAUCUUCGCUGCACCUUUUUUUUUCUUUCUAGCUUUAAUGUGUUUACUUUUACAGCCAUUCAAACGUGAACCUAAAAGUAAAGAUGGUACAGGGUUCCUCAAGGACCAAGUAUCCAAACUUUUUUACUGUGUUUUUCCAUCUAUUAUAUGGAUUAUCGUUCUGCUUCUUGAUGGUGAUUAUAUUGCCUGUCGAGAGACAGACUGGAAUGGAGUGUAUGUUUCUGAUGAUGAGAUGUACAUAAAAUGGUGUAAACCAACUGAAUCAGAAAGAAGUGAUACUGAACUACGACAUAAGACUCGGGGCUUUUUUGCCAAGUCUCAGCGUGAUGGUUAUAUUGUGCUCCUUUCAUUUAGCCUCUUUAUAAUUAUUGCUAUAUGUGUCUAUGGCUGCUGCUGCAGUGAUAAAUCCAGCAAUGAAGAGAAUGACAGAAAUGUAACCGUGGAACAGAACCAACUGUUGGAACAGAACCAACAAAAUACUCAACCUAUAACACAGAACACCAGUUAAAAGGUGAAACAUUUCAGAAUAAUUGAAAGCAAUGAUAGCUUGUAUUACGCAUGUUUGUGUUUAGGUUCAUUGAUGAGUCAUUUUUACUUUUGUUUAUUUGAUGUUUUAUUUUUUUAUCUGUGUUUUAGCAUA